rnacentral:rRNA from 1 species
CCUUUUAACCGGGACGAAAUACAUGACGGUACCGGUGGAAUAAGCCUCGGCUAACUCCGUGCCAGCAGCCGCGGUAAGACGGGGGAGGCAAGCGUUGUCCGGAAUCACUGGGUGUAAAGGGCGUGUAGGCGGGCCGGCUAGUCGGUUGUUAAAUCUCUCCGCUCAACGGAGAAGCUGCGGCCGACACUUCCGGUCUUGAGUGCGGCAGGGGAGGAUGGAAUUCCUGGUGUAGCGGUGAAAUGCGUAGAUAUCAGGAGGAACACCAGUGGCGAAAGCGGCCUCCUGGACCACUUCUGACGCUCAGACGCGAAAGCUAGGGUAGCAAACGGGAUUAGAGACCCCGGUAGUCCUAGCUGUAAACGAUGUGAACUUGGCGUUGGUGGGUUUAAAUCCAUCAGUGCCGAAGCUAACGCGAUAAGUUCACCGCCUGGGGACUACGGCCGCAAGGUUAAAACUCAAAGGAAUUGACGG